GAUGAACGCUGGCGGCGUGCUUAACACAUGCAAGUCGAACGGAAAGGCCCUGCGUUUGCGUGUUUCUUGUUAGGCGAGCGGGGGAGUAACACGCGAGUAACCCGCACUUGUCUUUGUGAGAAAUUCACGGAACAGGGGCGCUUAUCGCAGAUGAUAUCCUGCUGCACGUUGGUCGUUAGAAAGAUUCGGCGGUUGGGGCUGGUUUCGAGGGUUAUCCGCUUGAUGGGGUGGUAGUGGCUGACCAAGGCUUUGACGGCUAGCCGGCCUGGGAGGGUGGCCGGCGACAUGGCGACUGCGAUACGGACCAGACUGCUACGGGAGGCAGCAGUCGGAAAUAUUGCACAAUGGGCGGAAGCCAGUGACAGAAACGCCGCGUGCGGGAUGACCUCCUUCGGGUUGUGAACCGAUUUCGCAUGUGACGAAGCGUGAGUGACGGUACUGGGUAAAGAAGCACCGGCUAACUACGUG
rnacentral:rRNA from 1 species